GAUGAGCGCUGGCGGCGUGCCUAAUACAUGCAAGUCGAGCGAACGGACGAGAAGCUUGCUUCUCUGAUGUUAGCGGCGGACGGGUGAGUAACACGUGGAUAACCUACCUAUAAGACUGGGAUAACUUCGGGAAACCGGAGCUAAUACCGGAUAAUAUUUUGAACCGCAUGGUUCAAAAGUGAAAGACGGUCUUGCUGUCACUUAUAGAUGGAUCCGCGCUGCAUUAGCUAGUUGGUAAGGUAACGGCUUACCAAGGCAACGAUGCAUAGCCGACCUGAGAGGGUGAUCGGCCACACUGGAACUGAGACACGGUCCAGACUCCUACGGGAGGCAGCAGUAGGGAAUCUUCCGCAAUGGGCGAAAGCCUGACGGAGCAACGCCGCGUGAGUGAUGAAGGUCUUCGGAUCGUAAAACUCUGUUAUUAGGGAAGAACAUAUGUGUAAGUAACUGUGCACAUCUUGACGGUACCUAAUCAGAAAGCCACGGCUAACUACGUGCCAGCAGCCGCGGUAAUACGUAGGUGGCAAGCGUUAUCCGGAAUUAUUGGGCGUAAAGCGCGCGUAGGCGGUUUUUUAAGUCUGAUGUGAAAGCCCACGGCUCAACCGUGGAGGGUCAUUGGAAACUGGAAAACUUGAGUGCAGAAGAGGAAAGUGGAAUUCCAUGUGUAGCGGUGAAAUGCGCAGAGAUAUGGAGGAACACCAGUGGCGAAGGCGACUUUCUGGUCUGUAACUGACGCUGAUGUGCGAAAGCGUGGGGAUCAAACAGGAUUAGAUACCCUGGUAGUCCACGCCGUAAACGAUGAGUGCUAAGUGUUAGGGGGUUUCCGCCCCUUAGUGCUGCAGCUAACGCAUUAAGCACUCCGCCUGGGGAGUACGACCGCAAGGUUGAAACUCAAAGGAAUUGACGGGGACCCGCACAAGCGGUGGAGCAUGUGGUUUAAUUCGAAGCAACGCGAAGAACCUUACCAAAUCUUGACAUCCUUUGACAACUCUAGAGAUAGAGCCUUCCCCUUCGGGGGACAAAGUGACAGGUGGUGCAUGGUUGUCGUCAGCUCGUGUCGUGAGAUGUUGGGUUAAGUCCCGCAACGAGCGCAACCCUUAAGCUUAGUUGCCAUCAUUAAGUUGGGCACUCUAAGUUGACUGCCGGUGACAAACCGGAGGAAGGUGGGGAUGACGUCAAAUCAUCAUGCCCCUUAUGAUUUGGGCUACACACGUGCUACAAUGGACAAUACAAAGGGCAGCGAAACCGCGAGGUCAAGCAAAUCCCAUAAAGUUGUUCUCAGUUCGGAUUGUAGUCUGCAACUCGACUACAUGAAGCUGGAAUCGCUAGUAAUCGUAGAUCAGCAUGCUACGGUGAAUACGUUCCCGGGUC
rnacentral:rRNA from 1 species